CUGAUUGGUUGCGGCGGGCGAAGCUACCCGUUUGAAUUGUUAGGCGUGGAAAGGUGCUGGAGGAGGCAGCCUUGCUUGCAAGAAUUUCUGGCACUGACGUCUUCUUCAAACAGGACUUCAGGCUCAUGAGGACAGUACAGAUAUACUGUAGCUUAGCCUGAGCUUAGGGAGAAUGCCCAAAAGCAAGCAACGGAGGCGCCUCAGAUUGAAAGUCAGGUCAAAAAUCUGUUUGAUGAAGAAGAGGAGAAGUAUUAAUCAGCUUCAACGUUCAGAUGUUGUACCUCCAAAGCCCCUCAUGUUGCCAUCCACUGAGCAUAAGCCUUUCUGGUCCUGGACUUCGGCGUUGUGCCGUUUAACAGAAGCAGUGAAACCUCUGCUGGUGACAGCAUCCCGUUGGUUUUGGUGGUGUCGGAAAGCUGUUACUCAUAUCUUCCAAAUAAUAAAAAAACCAAUAUUUCAAUCGCACAUGUGCCAGCAGGAGCUGAACUCUCUCAGAGAGCGAUUAGAAAGGCUGGAAAUUGAAUUUUCUAAGCUGCAGUCCUUGGUUCAGAAUGGAGCUGUUGCUCCUCCAACCAGCCAAAGCUCAGAGAGUCCAGUCUUGGCACUUCCUGCACUUAGAGAGCUCAACAUCGUGAGACCAGUAUCUUCAACGUCACAACUACUGAUGCCCCCAGCACCCCCUCCACCUCCACCACUCCCUCCGCCACCACUUCCCCCAGUACCACUUUCUCUCAAAAGAAUCGGUGGUACAAAAACACAGACAGCCUCAUUAAAAAAAGAGGUGCCAAUGCAAAUAACAAUCCAGGAUCUUCUAAAUGUGAAGCUAAAAAAGACACAACGCGGCACAGAGAUGAACAAGAAGAGAUCGCCGUUGGAGCAGCGUAAGGCGUUAGUUACUCUCUCGGAUUUGCAGAGCAUCAGUCUGAAGUCCAAAAAUCCACGGCCAGCUGCUCGAGUUACUAAUCAUUUAAUCACUCCUAGCAAAACUGGCUUAGAUUUACGGAAACACCUGAAAAAGGUUGCUAUUGACAGGAGCCCAGGUGGAACCCCGUUGACUAAUAAAGAGAAUACAGAGACAGGCACCGGGCUAACACCAAUUAUGACCCAGGCCCUACGGCGCAAGUUUCAGCUGGCUCACCCAAAAAGUCCCUCUCCAGCAGGGUUAACAACAACAAACGGCUUUGAAGAGCGUACUUAGAACUCCACCUGCUGGCAAUGCAGAGUCCCCCAGCCGCUGUGUCGCUUCCUUGGCCUCCACGGGAUGCUACUGGGCAAGAAGGACGGGCAUGGGGAGUGGAGAGAGCAGGCUUGGCAAUCCAAACCAGUGGUUCCCAACCUUGGCUCACCCAUAUGUUCUUGGACUGCAACUCCCAGAAACCCCGACCAGCGCAGCUGUGGCAAAGUCUCCUGGGAACUGCAGUUGAAGAACACCUGAGUGACCCAAGGUUGGGAACCAUCGUUCUUUCCUGGCCUGAUGCCCUCAAUAUGUGCCAGGCUGCAGUUCCCAGAAUCCUCUAGUCCAUCAUAUUUGGACAGCACUCUGUUGAGAGAGCCACUGUAGAUAGAGGUAACGGAGCAUGUCAACACACGCCAGUUAUUAGAAUGCCUUGAAAAUGAGCUAAAAGAAUUCAAAUGAACACUCCACCAGUUAAGAAACAGCAGAGUCAAAUGGUGAAAAUAAAUUAUUACUUUGCAUACUGCAAUUAGAUUAUAUACUUCCACUGUAUUUCGUAUCCAUAACUAAGUUUGUAUCUGUUUGUUUAUAUAUGUUCACUUACUGCUAUCAUUACCUCCUCACAUCAUUGCAAAUAAUGGUUAUUUUCUGCCUGUGGCCCAGCCCUGAAUGAAUUCAGCUAUGAAAUGUGAAAUGCAUCUUGUAGAACAGCAUGUGUGGGAAUCUUUUUUUUUUACCAUGAAGUUGACACCGAUUUACUUGGUUAUUUCUUUCCUCAGAGACUGCCAGCUUAGCAAGAUCCUAACCUGUAUCCUAAAAAUAGGCACCUGUUCUCUUGUCAUGAAAUUAGCUCUUUCCAAGCUUGUGCUCUUGGACUUUGGCUCCCAAAGAGCUCUUCCCUACUGGCCACAUAAACGAACAUUUAUGUUAAUGGCAGUUCAAAACACACAGAGGGCACCAGAAUGUGGAAACUUGCGUUGUACAAAAAAAAGAAAGAAAAGAAAUUUGUAGCCUCCUUUCCACACCAUCCAGACAC